rnacentral:rRNA from 1 species
UUUCUCCUCGAAUCGGACGCGAUCACCCGCUGAACUUAAGCAUAUCAGUAGGCGGUGGAAAAGAAACUAACGAGGAUUCCCCUAGUAACUGCGAGUGAACAGGGAACAGCCCGACGCUGAAGCCUCGACCGUUCAAGGCGGGGCAAUGUGGCGUUAUACGGUGCGUUUCGUCGGUCCACACAAGUGCGACCGUUCCCCGGCUUGCAGAAGUCUGCGUGACCGUGGCUCUAUUACCCCGAGAGGGUGAAAGGCCCGUUCUGGUACCGUAAAAGGUUGCCGAGCCGAAAAGGGGGCGGCGUACGGGCUGAUAACGAGCGUACGAACAGAGUCGGAUUGCUUGAGAGUGCAAUCUUAAGACGGGUGGUAAACUCCAUCCAAGGCUAAAUAUGAUUCCACCAGACCGAUAGCGAACAAGUACCGUGAGGGAAAGUUGCAAAGAACUCUGAAGAGAGGGUUCAAGAGAACGUGAAACCGAUCGGCAGUAACCGGGAGGCACGCCUCGAAACAGAGAUGGGUUUCGAGCUGGGCUUGACGUGAGAGAUUCAGCCCGCUUUGCUCGGUCGGUCGGACGGGGUUGCCCUCGAGGCGAGCGAACAAACGUUCCUAACGCGGCACGGUGGGCGGCGGUUUUCCGUCGUUCUGCCGGAGUCGCAAGAGCGUUGUCGUUCCCGUCUUUAGCCGUACCGCAGCGCGGGUGCAUUUUCUUGCUUCGGCCUUGCCUCUCGGGAGGAGUCUAGUGCUCCUCCCGGGAUCUUACCCACGCCGUCGCCGGGCUGUUUUCAUAAGCGUGUGGCCGGGGAACCGACGGGAGGUUGGUUAGAGUUCGUUGUCUCUCGUAGCGGCGUUCUUGUUUCUAGCCUUUCCCGUUAUUCUCCUUGACCUCGUUGUCGGCUUGCGUUAGCAUUGAACGACCCGGUGUUGGAUGUGCGCUUCUCGUGCGUGCGCAGGGGUGCGAUUUUUGAUCGGACGUCGUAUUCGGUCUCGGCCCGCCUGAGGCACCGUCUCCGUUCAUCGGAGGACGCGUCUCUCGGGUCGUUCCGGUGCGGCGUACUUUACCCGUGAUGUUCCUCCCUUGCGCCACACGCCGAGUUUUUGUCGUACUCGAAUGACGGCCGAGUAGAAAGGCUCGCCUCCCGACCCGUCUUGAAACACGGACCAAGGAGUCUAACUCUUACGCAAGUCGCAGAGUUUUUCGGUGCGUCUGGUGUCGCAAGGCAUCGCGUACCGAGCGUAAACGAAACUCGAUUGCGGCGAAAUGAAAGUAAAUUAGGCCGGAACCGGUCUAUUCUUAAUACAGGCCGGCGCACGAGCCCACCCGUCUGGCGUCGUAAAAGGGGCGUCGAGGACGGAGUGUGAGCGUAAAAGUUGGUACCCGAAAGAUGGUGAUCUAUGCCGGGGCAGGGUGAAGCCAGAGGAAACUCUGGUGAAAGCCCGCCGCGAUUCUGACGUGCAAAUCGAUCGUCUGAUCUUGGCAUAGGGGCGAAAGACUAAUCGAACCAUCUAGUAGCUGGUUCCUUUCGAAGUUUCCCUCAGGAUAGCUGGCACGUAUGCAAAGGGAAUCUCAUCCAGUCGAGCGAAUGAUUAGAGGCCUUGGGGCCGAAACGAUCUCAACCUAUUCUCAAACUCACAAUGGGUGAAAAAGGCCGGUCGUCCUAAACGCGACCGGCAAUCGAUCCCCACGUGCCCAGUGGGCUAGUUUUGGUAAGCAGAACUGGCGAUGUGGGAUGAACCGAAAGCCGAGUUACGGUGUCCGAUUACACGCUCAUGAGAUCCCACAAAAGGUGUUGGUUGCUUUAGACAGCAGGACGGUGGCCAUGGAAGUUGGAAUCCGCUAAGGAGUGUGUAACAACUCACCUGCCGAAGCAACCAGCCCUGAAAAUGGAUGACGCUCGAGCGUGAUACCUAUACUCGGCCCAGAGAGCUCUAUUCAUAUCUCUGGUGUAGAAAGGCGAGACGAUGAGCGGCGAAAGGGUACAAUGUUUCGGCGUGAGCCUGCCCGGAGCCGUCGUCUGCGCAGAUCUUGGUGGUAGUAGCAAAUACUCCAGUGAGACCCUGGAGGACUGACGUGGAGAAGGCUUCCAUGGCGAACAGCCGUUGGCCAUGGGUCAGUCGAUCCUAAGGUCGUUAUUGGGAGAAAUUUAAAAAAAAAAGCGUCCUCGUGGCGUAAUAAAAACAACUUUCUUCCUGACCGAAAGGGAAGCGGGUUAAUAUUCCCGCACCUGGACGCAGUAGUGAAGGGGUUGCGGUCUUUCUAAACGAGAUCGUGGUCUCGAUAUGACGGUAACGUUUUCACUCUCUCGGAGACGCUGGCCGUGGGCCCGGAAAGAGUUUUCUCUUCUUGUUAAGGGGCCACCUCCCUGGAAUGGAAUCAUUCCGAGAAAGGGAGGCAGUCGCUAACUCUUCGUAGCACGCUUUCGUUCCAAAGUUGAUUGGGAACCCUCGCGGUUCUCGAUCGAGUCUGCGACACGGAGCGAGCUCGAGGAGAGCUAUACCGCAAAGC